GAGGGUAUAGCUCAGUGGUAGAGCAUGUGCUUAGCAUGCACAAGGUCCUGGGUUCAAUUUCCAGUACCCCCA
rnacentral:tRNA from 1 species